GGGUUUUUUUUUUUUGUUGACUUUUUAUCCUCUUCCUAAACCUCUCUCUCUCUCUACAGAUCUGACUUAACAUUUCUUCUCCAGAUUCUCAAAUCAUUGUCUCUCCGUUUCGACCACCAUUUUUCCUUCUAUUGACUUUAAAUUCAGUUAUUAUUUUCAGAGAUUACAUUAUCGAAAUACACCAUAUAAUCCAAUUCACUACUUGAUUCAACCAAACAUAUUUUGGUAAACGAUUACAUCCGGAAAGGGGAGAAGCAAUCUGAAUAGUCGAAUCCAAUCGAUGUGUGUUUUGGGGUUGAUAAAAUAUGCAAGUCGGGAGGAUUACGUUUGCACCCAUGAGUAUAUCUACUCGACUAAUCAAACCAAUUGAGUUGUACAUGUUUAAGCAACUUAGGUUAUCAAGAGAUUUGACAUGAGAGGCCAAAGUUUCAAACUUCCCUUCCUUUAGGCGCUUGCUCUCAAAAAAAAAAAAAAGGGAAAGGGGUCAAAUAUUGGAAUUCUCACCCAAUCCAACCGAAGCAUAUAAACGAAGACAUCAUAAUAUCAUUUAGAUAUGUAGUUGUUUUCUUUAACAUGUACGAUUAUUUAAUUUAAAAGAGGUGUUAUAUUUAUCGUUUAAACUGUUUUCCUUUUAACUGCAGGAUACCAAAUGACAUGUACUUUCCUGUACGGUAUAUGUGUUUGAAGAGAUAACCAAAAAGGAUAGGGUUUUGUACGUUAUUCACAGACCAGAUACUGAUGACAGGGCAGUAGUCUUAGAAGAAUAAAGAUAAACUGGAUGAUCAUUUUCUGGAACUUCCAAACUGUGGUUUCUUAACAGUUGCAUUAAUAAGGUACACUAUUUUAAUAAGAAAAAGUAUUUAACUUAAAAACACUAAUCAUCUAAAGUAUAUGUGACCUGAAAAAUUUGAAAUAAAGAGUUCGGUAAGCUUACUGUCUCCUCCGGAGUAGUCAGUAUAUUGCUUUCAAGAAUGAAUGAUUUUUCACUUGAAUUCUCCUGGCUGUUUUGAAUGGUCUUAUCGAGAGCGGCAACCAUUGAAGAAGGCUUGAAAGAAUACAAAGGGGAGAAAGUUAAGAAGGUAUGAUGAUGUAACCUUCUUACUAUCAUCCUAUUUAUAUAGGAAGUCUUCAAGUAUUAAGAUUUAGGUAUGAUUUUAUAGUAUAAUUUAGGGUAUAUUAGUGGAAUUUGGGUGGAAAUCUUCGUAGUUAAUUAGGUAAUAUAUUUUUAACAAUAACGAUAUAUAUUUUUUGGUGCAGUUAAGGAAAGAAGUUUAGUCAUAUUCAAGUAGAUUACUAAAAACGCGGUUCAGUAAGAUUUUUGGAAUUUUAUUAAGAGAUUAUCUGUCAAAUUAAGUAAUUUAAGUAAAAAGAUUGAAUAGUGUAAUCAAUGGCUUUAAUCGUUUGACGUGAUUAGAAGGGAGACUAAUUUAAUAUUCUUUUUUCCAUAAAUAAUGUUUUAACUUUUUGCAGCCCAUUAAGUUUUUUGCAGCCCAUAGUAGCCCAUUAAUCAUUUGGCGGACAAACUGAUUUACGUAAAGUAUCCGAUUAAUAAUUUUCGGGUUAUUUCUAAAUUAAAACCCGACCCGUUCUGUUCGAAUGUCAAUUUUAACCUUAAUGACUUGUCUUAUAUUUAAUUUCGAUAGGGAUAUUUUCGGGUUAAACUAAAAUUGUACUUCUCUUUUACUAAUAUAGGGAUAAUAAUAACACCGUGACAAAUUUAUUAAUCUCAAAAACCUUAGUUAUUAUGCAUAAGAAACUUUGUUAACACUUCAAAGUCAAAGAUUGCGUAGUAUG